rnacentral:rRNA from 1 species
AGAGUUUGAUCAUGGCUCAGGAUGAACGCUGGCGGCGUGCUUAACACAUGCAAGUCGAACGGAAGUAGUAAUACUUCAGUGGCGCACGGGUGAGGAACACGUAGCUCACCUGCCCCGAAGUGUGGGAUAACGCUCCGAAAGGAGUGCUAAUACCGCAUAAGCUCACGGACUGUAGAGGUCUGUGAGAAAAGGCGAAGCUCGCAAGAGCCAGUCGCUUCGGGAGGAGGCUGCGGCCCAUCAGGUAGUUGGUGUGGUAACGGCGCACCAAGCCGACGACGGGUAGGGGACCUGAGAGGGUGACCCCCCACACUGGGACUGAGACACGGCCCAGACUCCUACGGGAGGCAGCAGUGAGGAAUAUUGCCCAAUGGAGGAAACUCUGAGGCAGCGACGCCGCGUGGGUGAAGAAGGCCUUCGGGUCGUAAAGCCCUUUUCUGUGUGACGAGCACGGACGGUAGCACAGGAAAAAGUCUCGGCUAACUACGUGCCAGCAGCCGCGGUAAAACGUAGGAGGCAAGCGUUAUCCGGAGUUACUGGGCGUAAAGCGUGCGUAGGCGGGUCGGUAAGUGGGUCGUGAAAGCGCCGGGCUAAACCGGGCGAGGACGAACUAGACUGCCGGUCUAGAGGCGGAUAGAGGGGUGCGGAAUUCCGGGUGUAGCGGUGAAAUGUGUAGAGAUCCGGAGGAACACCAGUGGUGCAAACGGCGCCCUGUGUCCGAACUGACGCUGAGGCACGAAAGCGUGGGGAGCGAACGGGAUUAGAGACCCCGGUAGUCCACGCCGUAAACGAUGUCAACUAGGUGUCCACCUGGCUACGGUCAAGGGGGUGCCGAAGCCAACGCCAUAAGUUGACCGCCUGGGGAGUACGGUCGCAAGGCUAAAACUCAAAUGAAUUGACGG